rnacentral:rRNA from 1 species
UGAGUACGAGCUGCUACGGCAGCGAAGUGGGUGAUGUCAAGCUUCCAAUAAAAGCCCUAUACCCGUUAAGGCAUGAUGGCCUGUACCCGAAACCGACACAGGUGGGGUGGUAGAGAAUACCGAGGGGCGCGAGAUAACUCUCUCUAAGGAACUCGGCAAAAUGGCCCCGUAACUUCGGGAGAAGGGGUGCCACCGCAAGGUGGUCGCAGUGAAGAGGCCCAGGCGACUGUUUACCAAAAACACAGGUCUCCGCUAAGUCGCAAGACGAUGUAUGGGGGCUGACGCCUGCCCAGUGCCGGAAGGUUAAGGAAGCUGGUCAGCGUAAGCGAAGCUAGCGACUGAAGCCCCGGUGAACGGCGGCCGUAACAAUAACGGUCCUAAGGUAGCGAAAUUCCUUGUCGGGUAAGUUCCGACCCGCACGAAAGGCGUAACGAUCUGGGCGCUGUCUCGGAGAGAGGCUCGGCGAAAUAGAAUUGUCUGUGAAGAUGCGGACUACGUGCACCCGGACAGAAAGACCCUAUGAAGCUUUACUGUAGCUUGGUAUUGUGCUCGGGCUCGGAAUGCGCAGGAUAGGUGGGAGGCUAUGAACCAUUGCUUGUGGGUGAUGGUGAGCCACUGGUGAGAUACCACUCUUUCCGAGCUAGAGUUCUAACAGCCACCCGUUAUCCGGGGGCUGGACAGUAUCAGGUGGGCAGUUUGACUGGGGCGGUCGCCUCCUAAAAGGUAACGGAGGCGCGCAAAGGUUUGCUCAGGCUGGUUGGAAAUCAGCCGACGAGUGUAAAAGCAGAAGCAAGCUUGACUGUGAGACCUACAAGUCGAACAGGGAGGAAACUCGGCUUUAGUGAUCCGACGGUUCUGCGUGGAAGGGCCGUCGCUCAACGGAUAAAAGUUACUCUAGGAUAACAGGCUGAUCUCCCCCAAGAGUUCACAUCGACGGGGAGGUUUGGCACCUCGAUGUCGGCUCAUCGCAACCUGGGGCUGAAGUCGGUCCCAAGGGUUGGGCUGUUCGCCCAUUAAAGCGGUACGCGAGCUGGGUUCAGAACGUCGUGAGACAGUUCGGUCCAUAUCCGGUGCAUGCGCAGGAAUAUUGAGAGGAUUUCUCCCUAGUACGAGAGGACCGGGAGGAACGCACCUCUGGUGUACCAGUUAUCGUGCCAACGGUAAACGCUGGGUAGCCAUGUGCGGAGAGGAUAACCGCUGAAAGCAUCUAAGUGGGAAGCCCACCUCAAGAUGAGUAUUCCCAUGGGGUAACCCAGUAAGGUCACGGGAAGAACACCCGUUGAUAGGCUCUACGUGGAAGCGCAGUAAUGUGUGAAGCGGAGGAGUACUAAUAGACCGAGGGCUUGACC